rnacentral:rRNA from 1 species
GAUGAACGCUGGCGGCGUGCCUAAUACAUGCAAGUCGAGCGAACGGACGAGAAGCUUGCUUCUCUGAUGUUAGCGGCGGACGGGUGAGUAACACGUGGAUAACCUACCUAUAAGACUGGGAUAACUUCGGGAAACCGGAGCUAAUCCCGGAUAAUAUUUUGAACCGCAUGGUUCCAAAGUGAAAGACGGUCUUGCUGUCACUUAUAGCUGGAUCCGCGCUGCAUUAGCUAGUUGGUAAGGUAACGGCUUACCAAGGCAACGAUGCAUAGCCGACCUGAGAGGGUGAUCGGCCACACUGGAACUGAGACACGGUCCAGACUCCUACGGGAGGCAGCAGUAGGGAAUCUUCCGCAAUGGGCGAAAGCCUGACGGAGCAACGCCGCGUGAGUGAUGAAGGUCUUCGGAUCGUAAAACUCUGUUAUUAGGGAAGAACAUAUGUGUAAGUAACUGUGCACAUCUUGACGGUACCUAAUCAGAAAGCCACGGCUAACUACGUG